GUAUCCAAUUCUCCUCUCUCACAUGUUCAUUUAAUGUUGAUUUUAGAAUCUCCUCCCUCCCAGAACACAGCCUGUAUCCAGUGUGAUUUCCUUGCCUUUGCCUUGUCUACCUGGAAGUUAUUUGUGUUUAUUAAUCCUAAGUUUUUUAAAUAUGUUUGUCAGUUGGGAUCACCUUUUCCUCCUGGCAAUCUUGUCAUUACUGGGUGAUGCAUGAAAAAUCAACAAUACAGAAAAUACCAAAAUGUCUUUCUUGGCUUCCCUUUACCCCUUGGACUUUCUUGUUCAAGGCCACUUUCCUUCUCUGAUGAUCCUCUUGGGUGGAAGAGAAAGUCACAGUAAGAUCAUGGAUAACAGUGAACCCUGUUGGGUGUGGUUUCAUUUUCAGAGCUGGGUUUAGAGCCUUCCCUCGGAAUGAAGAACCCUCCCCAACUGGAAGGUGAGGCUCUUGAAGGCUCAGCUGACAACACACAUGGGUAUCAAGUCAUUGGCCACAUUCGUGCCUCAAGUGUCCUAAAACCAAAGAUGAUCAAAAGAAAACUGCCGUUCAGCAAGUGGAGACUGGCAUGCAGAUUCCCUGGCCUGCAAGCUUAGGGUACGAAGGUAAUCACAUCUACGGCUCUUAGCUGCACUCGCUCCUUAUUUCCCUGCCUAUGAUGACAGCUCCUUCCCCCACUGCUUUUCUCUUUCCUAUCUGUUCUCUUCAGAAGCCGCUGUCACCUUUGUCUGGUCUUACCUCUGUGUCCCAUGGGCUGCCACCCUGUCAGGCCCUUCUGGUCCCCAUCGCCUGUUUGCUCUCUGAACUCUGCUCUGUUCCCACUACUGCUGUCCUGAGAGUCCCUUUCAAGGCCGCAGGAGAACCCAGCCUCCUUAUCCCCCUCCAAGUGCAUGGUGUGAGCUGUUAAACACAGGAUUCUGUGCAUGGAAUCACACAGUUUGAGUAAUUUGCCUUUCCUUCCUCCAUCCCAAACUCCAUUGCCCCUUUCUGCCGGAAGCAUUGCUUUAAUACGCCACUUAUACACAGAAUUUUCUCUUGGGACAGUAUUUGAGCAACCCAAAAAAUCAAACUUUAACCCUCACCUUGUACAUGGGAAUGAGAAAUGUUAAAACUGAGCACUAAGAACCCCAAAUCAGGGGAACCGAGUCUGCGAGCAAGCCGGGCAGUGGGCGUGAACAGGGCCUAGGGCGCCCGGGAGCCCAGUCAGGCGGCGGCGAGGAGCCGGCGCGCCUGGCGCGGGGAGCAGUCGGCGGCCGCUCGCUGCGGGGAUAUCCCAAUGGAUGAGCUCUCGCCGCCAGGCACACGGCGUGGGGGAGCCUCGCUGGCGGCGGCGGCGGCUAGUGGGGCGAGGCUGGCCGCCAGUUCCCGGGGAAAGAGGCGAGGGCGUCUGAGCGAAGCCUAUAGCGGCGGCCUUCUCUCACGCGCCCCGGCCCGCCGAACUGGGCCUGCCUCCCGAGCCAGCUCCUGCCUCCCGCGCCCGCCUCGCUUCUCCCGUCGGCCCAGGCCAUCCGCUCCCGCCGCGCCCACUGCCCACCUGGUGGCCCCAGCCGUGGCCGCCGCCCCCGCGGCGGUUCCCGGAGCUCGUCCCGGAUGCGCGCCCGGGCAGCUGGGGCUCGGUGGCCACCGCUGCCACGGGGGAGCGAGUGCGGGAGGGUGUGUGUGCGCGCUGUGAGCAGGGGGUCCCGGCAGGGCUGCAGCGGAGGCACGUUGAAAGAAUGACUCUGGAGUCCGUCAAGGCGUGCUGCCUGAGCGAGGAGGCCAAGGAAGCCAAGGAAGCCCGGCGGAUCAACUACCAGAUGGAGCGGCAGCUCCGCAGGGACAAGCGGUCGCCCGCCGGGAGCUCAAGCUGCUGCUGCUCAGGACAGGAGAGAGUGGCAAGAGUACAUUUAUCAACCAGAUGAGAAUCAUCCAUGGGUCAAGAUACUCUAAUGAAGAUAAAAGGGGCUUCACCAAGCUGGUUUAUCAGAACAUCUUCACGGCCAUGCAGGCCAUGAUCAGAGCCAUGGACACACUCAAGAUCCAGUACAAGUAUGAGCACGAUAAGGCUCAUGCACAAUUAGUUCGAGAAGUUGAUGUGGAGAAAGUGUCUGCUUUUGAGAAUCCACAUGUAGGUGCAAUAAAGAGUUUAUGGAAUGAUCCUGGAAUCCAGGAAUGCUAUGAUAGACGAGAAUAUCAAUUAUCUGACUCUACCAAAUACUAACUCAAUGACUUGGACGCGUAGCUGACCCUGCCUACCUGCCUACGCGAGAAGAUGUGCUUAGAGUUCGAGUCCCCACCGCAGGGAUCAUCGAAUAACCCUUUGAUUUACAAAGUGUCAUUUUCAGAAUGGUCAAUGUCGGGGAUCCAAAGUCAGAGAGAAGAUAAUGGAUAUACUGCUUUGAGAAUGUCACCUCUAUCAUGUUUCCAAUAGCGCUUAGUGAAUAUGAUCAAGUUCUCGUGGAGUCAGACAAUGAGAACCGAAUGGAGGAAAGGAAGGCUCUCUUUAGAACAAUUAUCACAUAUCCCUGGUUCCAGAACUCCUAGGUUAUUCUGUUCUUAAACAUGAAAGAUCUUCUAGAGGAGGAAAUCAUGUAUUCCCAUCUAGUCGACUACUUCCCAGAAUAUGAUGGACUCCAGAGAGGUGCUCAGGCAGCCCUGGAAUUCCUUCUGAAGAUGUUCGUGGACCUGAACCCAGACAGUGACAAAAUUAUCUACUCCCACUUCACAUGCGCCACAGACACCGAGAAUAUCCGCUUUGUCUUUGCUGCCGUCAAGGACAUCAUCCUUCAGUUGAAACUGAAGUAGUACAAUCUGGUCUAAUUGUGCCUCCUAGACACACGCCCUGCCCUUCCCUGGUGGCCUAUUGAAGAUAUACAAGGACUGUAUUUCUGUGGAAAACAAUUUGCAUAAUACUAAUUUAUUGCUUUCCUGGACUCUGUGUGAGCAUGUCCACAGAGUUUAUGGUAAAUAUUAUGAUUUUAUUUAAACUAUUCAGAGGAAAUACAGAGGAUGCUGAAGUACAGUCCCAGCACAUUUCCUCUCUAUCUUUUUUUUUAGGCAAAACCUUGUGACUCAGUGUAUUUUAAAUUCUCAGUCAUGCACUCACAGCGAUAAGGCUUUCUCUCUCUCUCUCUCUCUCUCUGUUUCUCUCUUUUUCUUUUCUAUGGAGCAAAACAAAGCUGAUUUCCCUUUUUCCCCGCCCCCCAAUUCAUACCUCCCUCCUGAUUUUUUCCCCAGGUUACAAUGGGCUUUCUCCUAGAUCCAUUCUUGGUCAAGUUUUUCUCCCCACUGAUACAGUCAGGACACAUUGUUCGAUUUAAGCCAUCAUCAGCUUAAGUUAAGUUUGUAGUUUUUGCUGAAGGAUUAUAUGUAUUAAUACUAUGGUUUUAAAUGUGUUGCUCUGGAUACACACAUAGUUUCUUUUUUAAUAGAGUAUACUGUCUUGUCUCACUUUGGACUGGGACAAUGGAUGCCUGUCUAGCCGUUAAGUGUCAUUUCUUUUAGAUGUUUACAUUCAGCCAUAGCUUGAUUGCUCAGAGAAGUGUGCAGAAGGCAGGAUCAAAGACACACAGGAGUCCUUUCUUUUGAAAUGCCAUGUGCCAUUGUCUUUCCUCCCUUCUUUGCUUCUCUUUCUUUUUUUCACCCUCUCUUUCAAUUGCAGAUGCCAAAAAAGAUGCCAACAGACACUACAUUACCCUAAUGGCUGCUACCCAGAAACUUUUUAUAGGUUGUUCUUAAUAUUUUUGUUGUUGUUGUUCAAGCUUUUCCUUUCUUUUUUUUCCUUGGUGUUUGUGCCACAAUUUUAAAAUGACUUUUAUUAUGGGUAUGUGUUGCCAAAGCUGACUUUUUGUCAAAUAAAAUGAAUAAGAACUUAAAAAAUAAAAGCUGGUAUCUUAAAAUAUCUAAGAGAGUAAGACUGUGGAGCCUAAAAUGGCUGGCUGAGAAUGAACCAGAAAUGCCAAUUGCCAAACAGUUGGUAACUGUAAAUUUGAUUCUCAUGGUCCAUUCUUUUCUUUGUCCUUAAGAUGACAUGGUUAGCGUCCCUGUCCCAUGUUCAGUGUCCAAACCGGCAAUGUAAAAAGUAUCCUGUGUGGUUUAACAGGAAAUCUGUUUGUGUCUCUUUAUUUGAAACCGGUUUUACUCUCAAUGGUUCUUUAAAUUCAAUUAAGUCUGCCAGGAACAUUGGUUGAUAGUAUUAUUCCGACACCUUUAAUUUCCAAAAUCUGAAGUCCCUGCUAGUUUACUACCUUCAAGAUCUUCUUGAACUGGUAACUGAUUAGGUUGAACUUACGGAAGAUUUGUGGACUUAACUCAAAAAUAACUUCUCGGUGUUCUAUAAAACACGUAUUUGUGUAACUGAACUUACUAGGAGAAAUGUUUGGAAUUCUAUAUGUGCAAUUUUUCAACAAAUGCAAAGAAAUACAGCACAUGUAUUGACAAGCUUCUGUCAAGCAGCUUGAGUUGAAAUUUGAUUUAAGAAAAUAAAUCAUGGUUGUUUAAAGCUGCUGGGACAUUAGAUUUAGGCCAUGAUAACUGAUUUCAUUUUAACUAUAGUGGUAUUUGGCACUAGUCUAAACUUCCAUAUAAAUCACUUUUUUGGGAUAAUAAAGGAGAAGGGAGAAUAUUAAUGGCCUGUUAGAUGAGUACCAAGCCACCAAACAGUAAUGAAAUGUUCUCAUUCUUGAUUCUCUCAGCCUCAAACAACACAGGUUACUUUUUUUUUCCGUUGCUCAGAAAACACCUGUAAUUUAACAAACUGACUGCCUGUAGGUAUAGUGCAUUACAAAUGUUCUAAUCAUUGUACAUACAUCUCUCUUGGUAUUGCAGCAUCCAUACUGGCUUUGUAAUCAUUAAUUUUUUGACAGAUUGAAUGUGCUGUAUUGAUAUGUAUCUAUGUAAUUAUAUUGUAUGUCUAUAGCUAAUUCACAUUUUGAAUAAUGUUAUUUUAUUUACUUUUUUAAGAGAGGAGAAUGUGAAUUUGUCAGUUUAUUUCUGACUAGGGAAAAUCAUUUGCACAUUCCUGAGUAGAGGUAUACUGAUUAUAAGACCCAAAGGUAAUUUCAUAGCAAAAUACAUAAAAUCAGUCGGAGCUUUUAUACAAACAUGGAAACCAACUUUGUAGAACUUUCGCCAUUUGAUUUAGAAAUGGAAUAUGAGCUUUUAUACAAUUCAUAUUCUUAUUUGGCAAAUGCACAGUUUAGUAUUACCUCUCUGAUGGCCUUUACUAGAAAGGCAGUUUUAGAACUAUUGUGAUCCACUAAGGACGUGUUUCAACAGCUAGAGACCACUGCUUGCCUGAAAAGGAAUUCUUAAAUUUGGUGCAGGAAAAAAAAAAAAGUAAACAACAACAUCUGAAGGCCUACAGUGUGUAUAGAGAAAACCUCAUCACAAGAUCAUAAGUGUCACAGUUUUAGGGAAUCAAGAUAUUCUAUUUAAUAGAGCUAUAGUAGAUAUAGUCAAUUAAACCUGAUCUCAAAGUUUGAAGAAGCUGAGCAAAACAGGGAAAGACUGUUAUAUUUGUCUUUAUGAAAUUGGGAUGGAAUUUGCUAUGUAGAAUUGAGAUUUGUGGCUUCACUGUUCCUGUAGGGUGCAUGACAAGAUCCCUUCUCUUGAGAAAGGAAAAAAUUGAUCAUCCUGGCAGCAGUGAUGCAUAGAAACCUAAUUUUAGCCACACUAGUCAAUCGAAACUAAAGGAUUUUCUUUUUUGUUUCUUUGGGGUUUUAUUGAAGGGGCUAGGGGUGGGAUGGGAUUCUUUUCAGUUUUGUAUAAAAACAAAGUUUACUCACGCUUUAGAUUAUAUUGUGAUUGCAAGCGUUAUAAGCGUGUGCCACUGGCCUCCUAUGGUUGAUGCUUAGGUAAUGGAGGCCUGUGGUGAGUUUUAUGGUGACUUGGGCAUGUCUUAUUCAAAAACAAAAACAUAAAACACAGAAACCUUUCUUCAGCACACCAAGGCAAGCAGCCAUUUCAUGACUCACUUAACACAUUGCAGUGUACCAGUUUACAGAUGAUUUUUCCCUUUUUGCAUGACAUGGCAGUUCCAAACCCCAGAGAAUUCCUUAUUUGUAAAUUGGAAGUUUCUACUAUGCCUUACAGAGCUUAGAUUCAGAAGCUUGUGCGUCAUAUCUGAAACAAAGGGAAACAACACACCCAUUCAAAAGUAAAUAAAUCUCCUAGAAGUUUUUGUUUUUAACAUUUCCAUAGAAAGAGCUCUGUUGAAUGUCAUGAAUAGACUGGAAAAAAAAAAUCUUAGGAACCUGCAUAUGUUGUUUACUAGCAGAUGACAACUACAAAAGGAAUUUGAAGAACAAGUGAAACUUGUUUUUUGUUUUUGUUUUUUUUUGAUAGAUUAACUAGCAGGCCUAUUUUAAAAAGGUAAUUCAGCUAAAGGGCAAUUUACUUUUUUGUACUUCACACUAUCUUGAUUGUCAAAGUGUACGAAUUGUAAUUUUAAAAUUUAUACUACCACAUGAUUGUAAACUUUAGUUAUCUUAAGUUAGGAAUUGGUGAAACGCUAUGCUGGAUUUGGAUCAAAAUGACUUAUUUGCAAAAAUAAAUAAAUGAAUAAAUAAAUAAUGGGAAGAAAGGGCUGUAUAAUGAAAUAAUGCAAGACUCACAUAUUGGUUGGAAAUUUCCCUCAAAUCACCUACCGAUUACCCUUGAUUUCCCUUUGUUUUAAGUUUCUCAAAAUGAAUGAAAUGAAAUAUAGCAGAAUGUUAACCCAUACAAAAAUAAAGUGUACCCAAAUAUUGUAAUGUAUAUUGCUGCUCUUCUUCAAAUUAAAUAAGGGUUUAAAACCA